GCCGCUUUUACUCAUUUUUCUGUUUCUAUCUCUCUCUCUAACUUUUUCCUUCAAUUCUCUCUCGCUGCUCUCGUUCUCUUCUUCUCUCUUCUUCUUCUCUCCCUCUCUGUCUUUCUUCCUCUCUUUUUUGGCGGCAGCGACAUCGCCGCCGCUCCUCCCCUUUCUCUCUCUUUUCCUCCUCUCUUCUCCUUCUCCUUCUCCUCUCUUUUUCCUCCUCUCUUCUUUUUCUCCCCUUCUUAUUUUCUCUGAUUUUUCUUCUUUUUUGUCUCUUCUCUUAUCUUUUUUUUUGUCUUUGUCUCUUCUCACAGCGACGGCGACGGGAGGCCGUCGCCUCCUCCAACGACAAUGACAAAGAAACGAAAAUGUAAAGACUCAGAUUUAAUGCUCCAUCCCCUCUAUUUUCUAGAUUCGAGUUUGCAUAUCAUCGGUGAACGUCUUCAGCGAGUCCUCCGGCGACAUGCUAGCCCCGAUUUAGAUCUAGGGUUCCAUAUUUGUGUUCAAAUAGCUUUUUCUGACUUUAGUUGUUUUAUGUUUACUUUGUUUUUUUGUUGGGAUCGGGGAAUCGAUGAAGAGGAAAAAAGGGGCCGCAGUUGAUCACGGACCACUGACCAAAAAAGGGACGGACAAGGGAGGGUGAGUUAGAUAAAAACUCUGUUUCAUUUUUCUUAGUUAAUUAAUUUAGAAAAUUGAAAGAAAGGAGACUGCCUUUUUGAAUUUAUUUCAGAUGAACAAAAUUAGCUGUUGAUUUGCUCGGGAAAGUAGACCUAGGAACGAGGACGAGAAAAUGGAGCUCGAUGAAGGUAAACUCAGAACGGAAAAUUAUUUCGAUUCUUUUAAGCCAAUGAAUGCGAAAAAAACAAAGGUUGUUACCACUCGCUUUUUGAAUUAUCGAAGAUGUUAUAAAACGAAAGAGUAGUAGUUUAUUUCAAUUAUAGAGUAAAGCUAGCAACUUUGACAUAAUGGAAGCGGUUUAUUCAUUUGAAAACUUUGAUUAUUUGACGUAUUUCAAUAAAAUUCCAGCAAUAUAUUUUAACAAAGAACUCAUAUUUUUGCUUGAUGUCGAUGUCAUGUUUUAAGUGUUUGUGUGAUUUUUGAAUCCUUGCUGCUAAUGUUGUUAAAUGAGUGAGAUUUGGUCUUUUUAGUCCAUAUUCAACAUAUUUUCAGCAACCUUUUUUAAGCAAAGAAGCUUCAUUUUUUUUAUUUGUGACUUUGUGAGUUCAUCACUUGGUUAAGUAGGUUGUUUAGUUGAUAGUUGUAGUGAAUAGUAAAUUAGAGGUUGCGUAAAUGAUAAUAAAAUAGACGCUAUAGCCUAACAAGCAUAGCGAACAUAAUAACAUGUAUUGAAACAGGAUAUGAACGAUUGAGAAAUAGGAAGAGGUUCGUUUGAAAAUACCUAUCUUCUUUUAAAAGAAGAAAACUGAUUUUUGCUCUUCUUCCUUGACAAUGUUGACAAAAUCUCCGAGCCGCUUGCUCCAAGAGUUUGGGACUUUGAAAGUUUCGAGUCCUUGAAGUUUCGUCUAGACGCACUUUGUAUUUUCUGUUUGGUUUUAUUCAUUUUCUUUUGUAGUAGGAUUGGGUGUAACGGGAUUAGGGUGUAGUGGGAUUGUGGUAGAGUUUUUUGUUGUAAUCGGUAGAUCCUUUCUUCUUCAUUCUAUCCUCCUCUCUCUCGAAAAAAAUGGUGGUCCUUUUAAACGAAAACAAGGGAUAUCACCUCAUUUGUCUUCCAACCGAAUUUCGACAUCCAUUACUAACACAAAAAGGAGGUGGCGGCUCCUUAAUGACUAAAAGAGACAGGCCCGAAAUUUGGUCUGAAAUCGGACCUGAAAACGGACCUAAAAUCGAGCCUGAAAAUUGGAUGUAAAAUAGAACUACAAAAAAAACUCGAGGAUCCAGACAAAAUUUAAUUACUACC
rnacentral:lncRNA from 1 species